UACGUAGGGUGCGAGCGUUAAUCGGAAUUACUGGGCGUAAGGCGUGCGCAGGCGGUUUUGUAAGCCAGAUGUGAAAUCCCCGGGCUUAACCUGGGAAUGGCAUUUGGGACUGCAAGGCUCGAGUGCGGCAGAGGAGACUGGAAUUCCUGGUGUAGCAGUGAAAUGCGUAGAUAUGCGGAGGAACACCGAUGGCGAAGGCAAUCCCCUGGGCCUGCACUGACGCUCAUGCACGAAAGCGUGGGGAGCAAACAGG
rnacentral:rRNA from 1 species